rnacentral:lncRNA from 1 species
GCUGGUCCUUGCCUUAAGUGAUGACAUUACCUUGUGAAAGUCCUUUUCCUGGCUCAUCCUGGCUCAAAAACCACCCUCACUGAGCACCUUGCGACCCCCACUCCUGCCUGCCAGAGAACAAACCCCCUUUGACUGUAAUUUUCCUUUACCUACCCUAAUCCUAUAAAACAGCCCCACCCUUAUCUCCCUUCGCUGACUCUCUUUUUGGACUCAGCCCGCCUGCGCCCAGGUGAAAUAAACAGCCAUGUUGCUCACACAAAGCCUGUUUGGUGGUCUCUUCACACGGACACGCAUGAAAUUUGGUGCCGUUUUUUGUUGCUCACACAAAGCCUGUUUGGUGUCUCUUCACACAGAUGCGCAUGAAAUUUGGUGCUGUGACUCGGAUCAGGGGACCUCCCUUGGGAGAUCAGUCCCCUGUACUCCUGUUCUUUGCUCUGUGAGAAAGAUCCACUUAUGACCUCAGGUCCUCAGACCAACCAGCCCAAGGAACAUCUCACAUAUUUUAAAUCAGGUAAGCGGCCUCUUCUUACUCUCUUCUCCAACCUCUCUCACUGUCCCUCAACCACUUUCUCCUUUCCACUCUUCAAUCUCUCCCUUCUCUUAAUUUCAAUUCCUUUCAUUUUCUGGGAGAGACAAAGGAGACGCAUUUUAUCUGUGGACCCAAAACUCCGGCACUGGUCACAGACUGGGAAGGCAGCCUUCCCUUGGUGUUUAAUCAUUGCAGGGACGCCUCUCUGAUUAUACACCCACGUUUCAAGGGUGUCAAACCACGCAGGGACGCCUGCCUUGGUCCUUCACCCUUAGCGGCAAGUCCCGCUUUUCUGGGGAAGGGGCAAGUACCUCAACCCCUUCUCUCCAUGUCUCUACCCCUUCUCUGCUUUUCUGGGAGAGGGGCAAGUACCCCUCAACCCCUUCUCCUUCACACUUAGCAGCAAGUCCCGCUUUUCUAUGGGGCAAGAACCCCUAAUCCCUUAUUUCCAUGCCGCAACCUCUUAUCUCUGCGCCCCAAUCCCUUAUUUCCGUGCCCCAACCUCUUAUCUCUGCGCCCCAAUCCCUUAUUUCUGCACCCCGACCUCUUAUCUCUGUGCCCCAAUCCCUUAUUUCCGCGCCCCAACCUCUUAUAUCUCUGCACCCCAAUCCCUUAUUUCCACACCCCGACCUCUUAUCUCUGCGACCCAACCCAUUUUCCCACUUUUCUGGAAGAUCUUCUCGGCUUAGUUGCUGAAGACUGACACUGCCCAAUCGCCUCGGAAGCCCCCUAGACCAUCAAGGAUGCCUAGCUUCCAGUAACUCUCACAGUGGAAGGUAAGCCCGUCCCCUUCUUAAUCAAUACGGAGGCUACCCACUCCACAUUACCUUCUUUUCAAGGGCCUGUUUCCCUUGCCUCCAUAACUGUUGUGGGUAUUGACGGCCAGGCUUCUAAACCUCUUAAAACUCCUCAACUCUGGUGCCAACUUAGACAAUACUCUUUUAAGCACUCCUUUUUAGUUAUCCUCACCUGCCCAGUUCCCUUAUUAGGCUGAGACACUUUAACUAAAUUAUCUGCUUCCCUGACUCUUCCUGGACUACAGCUAUAUCUCAUUGCUGCCCUUCUUCCCAAUCCAAAGCCUCCUUUGCAUCCUCCUCUUGUAUCCCCCCACCUUAACCCACAAGUAUAAGAUACUUCUACUCCCUCCUUGGCGACCGAUCAUGCACCCCUUACCAUCUCAUUAAAACCUAAUCACCCUUACCCCACUCAACGCCAAUAUCCCAUCCCGCAGCACGCUUUAAAAAGAUUAAAGCCUGUUAUCACUCGCCUGCUACAGCAUGGCCUUUUAAAGCCUAUAAACUCUCCUUAUAAUUCCCCCAUUUUACUUGUCCUAAAACCAGACAAGCCUUACAAGCUAGUUCAGGAUCUGCACCUUAUCAACCAAAUUGUUUUGCCUAUCCCACCUUUGGCACCCUGUGGUGCCAAACCCAUAUACUCUCCUAUCCUCAAUACCUGCCUCUAUAAUCCAUUAUUCUGUUCUAGAUCUCAAACAUGCUUUCUUUACUAUUCCUUUGCACCCUUAAUCCCAGCCUCUCCUCACUUUCACUUGGACUGACCCUGACACCCAUCAAGCUCAGCAAAUUACCUAGGCUAUACUGCUGCAAAGCUUCACAGACAGCCCCCAUUACUUCAAUCAAGUCCAAAUUUCUUCCUCAUCUGUUACCUAUCUCGGCAUAAUUCUCAUAAAAACACACGUGCUCUCCCUGCCAAUCGUGUCCAACUGAUCUCUCAAACCCCAGCACCUUCUACAAAACAACUCCUUUCCUUCCUAGGCAUGGUUAGCGUGGUCAGAAUUCUUACACAAGAGCCAGGACCACACCCUGUAGCCUUUCUGUCCAAACAACUUGACCUUACUGUUUUAGCCUAGCCCUCAUGUCUGCGUGCAGUGGCUGCCGCUGCAUUAAUACUUUUAGAGGCCCUCAAAAUCACAAACUAUGCUCAACUCACUCUGUACAGUUCUCAUAACUUCCAAAAUCUAUUUUCUUCCUCAUACCUGACGCAUAUACUUUCUGCUUCCCGGCUCCUUCAGCUGUACUCACUCUUUGUUGAGUCUCCCACAAUUACCGAUGUUCCUGGCCCAGACUUCAAUCCGGCCUCCCACAUUAUUCCUGAUACCACACCUGACCCCCAUGACUGUAUCUCUCUGAUCCACCUGACAUUCACCCCAUUUCCCCAGAUUUCCUUCUUUCCUGUUCCUCACCGUGAUCACGCUUGAUUUAUUGAUGGCGGUUCCACCAGGCCUAAUCGCCACACACCAGCAAAGGCAGGUUAUGCUAUAGUACAAGCCACUAGCCCGCCUCUUAGAACCUCUCAUUUCCUUUCCAUCGUGGAAAUCUAUCCUCAAGGAAAUAACUUCUCAGUGUUCCAUCUGCUAUUCUACUACUCCUCAGGGAUUCUUCAGGCCCCCUCCCUUCCCUACACAUCAAGCUCGAGGAUUUGCCCCACCCAGGACUGGCAAAUUAGCUUUACUCAACAUGCCCCAAGUAAGAUAACUAAAAUACCUCUUAGUCUGGGUAGAUACUUUCACUGGAUAGGUAGAGGCCUUUCCUACAGGGUCUGAGAAGGCCACUCCAGUCAUUUCUUCCCUUCUGUCAGACAUAAUUCCUCAGUUUAGCCUUCCCACCUCAAUACAGUCUGAUAACAGACGAGCCUUUAUUAGUCAAAUCAGCCAAGCAGUAUUUCAGGCUCUUAGUAUUCAGUGAAACCUUUAUAUCCCUUACGGUCCUCCGUCUUCAAGAAAAGUAGAAUAGACUAAAGGUCUUUUAAAAACACACCUCACCAAGCUCAGCCACCAACUUAAAAAGGACUGGACAAUACUUUUACCACUUUCCCUUCUCAGAAUUCAGGCCUGUCCUCGGAAUGCUACGGGGUACAGCCCAUUUGAGCUCCUGUAUAGACGCUCCUUUUUAUUAGGUCCCAGUCUCAUUCCAGACACCAGACCAACUUGGACGGUGCUCCAAAAAAAUUGUCAUCCCUACUAUCUUCUGUCUAGUCAUACUCCUAGUCACCGUUCUCAACUACUCAUACGUGCCCUGCUCUUGUUUACACUGCCGGUUUACACUGUUUUUCCAAGCCGUCACAGCUGAUAUCUCCUGGUGCUAUCCCCAAACUGCCACUCUUAACUCUUGAAGUAAAUAAAUAAUCUUUGCUGGCAGGACUAUGCUGAAUCUCCUUAGGCACUCUCUAAUCAGAUAUCCUGAGUCGUCCCAAUUCUUAGACCUUUUAUACCUGUUUUUCUCCUUCUCUUAUUCCAGUUUCUCAAUUCAUCCAAAACCGUAUCCAGGCCAUCGCCAAUCAUUCUAUACGACAAACAUUUCUUCUAACAUCCCCACAAUAUCACCCCUUACCACAAGACCUCCCUUCAGCUUAAUCUCUCCCACUCUAGGUUCCCACGCCGCCCCUAAUCCCGCUUGAAGCAGCCCUGAGAAACAUCGCCCACUCUCUCUCCAUACCACCCCCCAAAAAUUUUCGCCGCCCCAACACUUCAACACUAUUUUGUUUUAUUUUUCUUAUUAAUAUAAGAAGGCAGGAAUGUCAGGCCUCUGAGCCCAAGCCAAGCCAUCGCAUCCCCUGUGACUUGCACGUAUACGCCCAGAUGGCCUGAAGUAACUGAAGAAUCACAAAAGAAGUGAAAAUGCCCUGCCCCGCCUUAACUGAUGACAUUCCACCACAAAAGAAGUGUAAAUGGCCGGUCCUUGCCUUAAGUGAUGACGUUACCUUGUGAAAGUCCUUUUCCUGGCUCAUCCUGGCUCAAAAACCACCCCCACUGAGCACCUUGCGACCCCCACUCCUGCCUGCCAGAGAACAAACCCCCUUUGACUGUAAUUUUCCAUUACCUUCCCAAAUCCUAUAAAACGGCCCACCCUUAUCUCCCUUCACUGACUCUCUUUUCGGACUCAGCCCGCCUGCGCCCAGGUGAAAUAAACAGCCAUGUUGCUCACACAAAGCCUGUUUGGUGGUCUCUUCACACGGACGCGCAUGAAAAAGAGCAAAACUCCGUCUCAAAAAAAAAAAAGAAAGAAAACCAACUUCCAGAUUUGUCCAUUGUACCCCACACAAGCCAGACUAAAGAGCAGCCACAGUCCCUUCUCCCUUCUCAGCCGGUGACACUGACCAGAGACAGAGGGGACUGCCAAGAGGCCACUGCUGGUCAGAAAUGCUCACACUCACUCACGUGUUCUCACACACUCUCACACAAUUCACACUCACUCAUACACACUCAGAUACACUCACACACUCACACACACACUCUCAUACUCACAUUUUUUCACAAUCUCUCCAAUUCUUUUUUAUUGAAGAAUGUGUUAUUUAUUGAAAAUAUGUAUAACUUUAACAAAUUACAGUAACUCCAUUAUCCCGACAACGAUUUUUAUUUUUAUAGGCCUUCAGUCCUUGUACACAUUAAACAGACCACUCACAGGGUCCCACACUGCAGUGAGCAGCAGCUCACUGCAAUUCCUUAGGCCACCCUGUACAAUGCCACCCCAAGAGCGGCUCCAAAUUUUAAGUCCAGAAGACAAACACAGAAACCCAACAAGAUAUAUAUUUACAAAUACAGUGUAGAGAACAGCAAAAUAUUUCAAUAGUUUUGUCUAAAAUGCUUUCUUUCAUGCAUCAUGUAGAGGCUAUAGAGAGGGGAACAGUCUCUGGAUCACAGAAAGGGGAACUUAAGCAAAAAACAAACAAACAAAAACGAUGCUAGGCCUGGUGCAGUGGCUUAGGCCUGUAAUCCCAGCACAUUGGGAGGCAGAGGCAGGUGGAUCGCUUGAGCCCAGGAGUUCCAGACCAGCCUGGGCAAAAUGCUGAAACUCCAUCUCUACCAAAAAAAAAAAAAAAAAAAAAGAAUACAAAAAUUAACCAAGUGUGGUGGCAUGCAGUUGUAGUCCCAGCUACACAGGAGGCUGACUUGGGAAGAUCACCUGAGCCUGGGAGUUCGAAGCUGCAGUGAGUCGUGAUCGUGCCACUGCACUCCAGUCUGGACAACAGAGUGAGACUCUGUCUCAAAAACAAAAACAAGUAAAUAAAAGUGUGCUUUCCAAAACCUUCCAGUAACCCCAACAUGAGACACAUAAGCAACCAAGUAUACUUCAAAAGUCUCAGAUUCUCAUUUAAGUUGACUUUCAAUCAUCAAUGUUGGCACCAUGCUGCUGGUUUGGGGGAAUUGUGUGUGUGUGUGUGUGUGUGUGUGUGUGUGUGUGUGUGUGUUUAAUCAUCCUUAUUACAGUUGAACAUGCUGCUGUUUAAAAUCACCAAUGCAAACAUUGCCAUUUUUGGUAAUCCUGCUGUUUUCAUUUAUGAGAAAACCUGCAGAAAGUACUCUGCCUACACCAAAGUGAAGUAGCAAAGAAACAGGUGACCACAGAAUCAUAAGGCCCUAAGACAGGCAGCAGAGCAUACGGUUACCCCUAAGUGGGAAAAAUGCCUGCCCUCAAACUAUGCAACCUGUUGCCUCUUCCUAGGAACACUAUUUUUUUCUCUUGCUGGUCUUCUGUUUGAUAGAUGCACUUCAAAUUUACCUGUUAAAUUAGGCCACGUUCUUUUGAGUUUUGUUUCCAAUUCACACCAACAAGAAUUCUUCCACUGAUGUUUUUGAAAAGUUAUUGACCAUGUGACUGUGACAAAAAAACUAUAAAUGGGGUGUGGUGGUUCACGCCAGUAAUCCCAUUGCUUUGGGAGGCUGAGGUGGGAGGAUCUCUUGAGGCCAGGGGUUCGAGACCAGCCUGGGCAACAUAAUGAGACCCUGUCUCUACAAAUAAAAAAUAAAAACCCUACAAAUGUGAGGAUGCAAACCAGUUGUUUAGUACUCAGCCCAUC